CAGCACCUCAAGUGGUCAGGAUGAUUAUUGGGCCUAAAGCAUCCGUAGCCGGCGCUGUAAGUUUUCGGUUAAAUCUGUACGCUCAACGUACAGGCUGCCGGGAAUACUGCAGCGCUAGGGAGUGGGAGAGGUAGACGGUACUCGGUAGGAAGGGGUAAAAUCCUUUGAUCUAUUGAUGACCACCUGUGGCGAAGGCGGUCUACCAGAACACGUCCGACGGUGAGGGAUGAAAGCUGGGGGAGCAAACCGGAUUAGAUACCCGGGUAGUCC
rnacentral:rRNA from 1 species